rnacentral:sRNA from 1 species
GUGAUUUAAUAUCUAAACUUACAGAAAAAUGUCAAAUCGACCAUAUUAAUCGUGAAAAAUGUUAUUAUUAGGGAAAAAUGUUAUUUAAUACCUAAACUUACAAAAAAUGGCCAAAUUAACCGUGAACUCGUGAAAUGGCCGUUUUAUCUCUCAACAAAAAGUUGACUUCUAUUUUAACUUUUAAGUUUGCGUUGACUCGGGCUAAUAAACCACCGUUAAAAAUUCUUCUAACAGCGUAAUUAACAGCCGUUACAGAACAUCCGUUAAGGUGAUACGAUGACGUUUUGUGCUAAAGAGAAAUCAAAAUCGAGAAUAGAAAUUCCCAAAACAAAAUCAAUUACCCUAAACCCAAAUCGAAACCUAAUCCUGCCCCCAAAAUCAAAAUCGAAACCCUAAUUGCUUCAAUUCGUUUUCUGAAAUGCCAUUAGUUAGAAAGAAUGGCGUCGUUAUGAGGAUUGGAUCUCCAAUGCUUCACGAAUCAGAGAAUUUGGUGGGAGAUGGAGUCGAAGCACCACCGCGAGGAGAAAGAGAUGAAAUUGGAGAAGAAGUUGGGGGUGAAACGAAUGUGGUAUCUGAGUCUUGUGGCGGAGAAGAGGGAGCACAAGAUGCAGCUAAAACAACGCCGGAAGGAGAAGCAGAUCGAAUUUGAGAGAGAAUGAUUUUUAGGAUUUGGGUUUUGAUUUGGAGAUUUUUCAGAGGUUUCGUCGACUUUGAAGUCUGUUGAUAGCACAAAACGUCAUCGUAUCACCUUAACGGAUGUUCUGUAACGGCUGUUAAUUACGCUGUUAGAAGGAUUUUUAACGGUGGUUUAUUAAACCGAGUCAACGCAAACUUAAAGGUUAAAAUAGAAGUCAACUUUUUGUUGAGAGAUAAAACGGCCAUUUCACGAAUUCACGGUUAAUUUGGCCAUUUUUUGUAAGUUCAGGUAUUAAAUAACAUUUCCCCCCUAAUUAUUAGGUGAGUAAUACGGAGAAAAUGGACUUUAAUUAUAUUCGUAAAUUGAUGUUCACACAUUAAGGCUCUAACUAAAUCUUCCGAUUAUUGUCAUAUAAACAUGUUCUAAUUUGUGAUAAAACUGAACUUCCACUGUCUCGCAGAGAAGGGAAAGAAUAUUUUGGGAGAACAACUAAAACCCUAAUAUCUAUGAUGAUGUCAACUUCAAAACACAUUGAAACUUGAGAAAAACAAAAAUCAAAGAAAAUAAAAAUAAAGCCUGCAUGCAAGAGAAU